GUGAGGAAUAUUGGUCAAUGGACGAGAGUCUGAACCAGCCAAGUAGCGUGAAGGAUGACUGCCCUAUGGGUUGUAAACUUCUUUUAUAAGGGAAUAAAGUGAGGGACGUGUCCCUUUUUGUAUGUACCUUAUGAAUAAGGAUCGGCUAACUCCGUGCCAGCAGCCGCGGUAAUACGGAGGAUCCAAGCGUUAUCCGGAUUUAUUGGGUUUAAAGGGAGCGUAGGUUGACAUAUAAGUCAGCUGUGAAAGUUUACGGCUCAACCGUGAAAUUGCAGUUGAUACUGUAUGUCUUGAGUGUACAAGAAGUGGGCGGAAUUCGUGGUGUAGCGGUGAAAUGCUUAGAUAUCACGAAGAACUCCAAUUGCGAAGGCAGCUCACUGGGGUACAACUGACACUGAGGCUCGAAAGUGUGGGUAUCAAACAGGAUUAGAAACCCUAGUAGUCC
rnacentral:rRNA from 1 species